UACGGGGGGGGCAAGCGUUGUUCGGAAUUACUGGGCGUAAAGGGCUCGUAGGCGGCCAACUAAGUCAGACGUGAAAUCCCUCGGCUUAACCGGGGAACUGCGUCUGAUACUGGAUGGCUUGAGAUUGGGAGAGGGAUGCGGAAUUCCAGGUGUAGCGGUGAAAUGCGUAGAGAUCGGGAAGAACAUCAGUGGCGAAGGCGGUCUGCUGGGCCGUUGCUGACGCUGAGGCGCGACAGCGUGGGGAGCAAACAGG
rnacentral:rRNA from 1 species